rnacentral:rRNA from 1 species
GUGGAUUAGAUACCCUGGUAGUCCACGCCCUAAACUAUGUCAACUGGGUGUUGGGGAAGCGAUUCCUCAGUACCGUAGCUAACGCGUGAAGUUGACCGCCUGGGGAGUACGGCCGCAAGGUUAAAACUCAAAGGAAUUGACGGGGACCCGCACAAGCGGUGGAUGAUGUGGAUUAAUUCGAUGCAACGCGAACAACCUUACCUACCCUUGACAUGUCCGGAAGCCCGCUGAGAAGCGGGUGUGCCCGAAAGGGAAUCGGAACACAGGUGCUGCACGGCUGUCGUCAGCU